AUCACCUGAGGAUCUUGUUAAAAUGCAGAUUCCUGUUCAGAGGAGCUGGGAUGGACCUGAGAUUCUGCAUUUCUAACAACUCCCAGGUGUUGCUGC
rnacentral:pre_miRNA from 1 species